rnacentral:misc_RNA from 1 species
GGCCCACCCACGGCCCUAAAUAGUUGAUCCCACAGCUUUUCUUAGGCUCACUUGUAAUUAUUAUAAAGACAAAACUGACAUAACAGCUAACAUUUUAUAGCAUUUAUUCACAUGUAAUCAAGUAGACAAAAGGUAACAAGUAGGCCUUUUGGCCACUGUCAUUUGCAAAUGAAAGCCAAAACAUGACUUAUUGUUCAACAAAUAUCUAAUUAUUUACAUGUGUUCUAAACUUAUUACAUCAAAAUAUA